CAAGAUAGUAGUUUAAUUUAAAAUUCUGGUAUUGGAAACCAAAGAUUGGGUACUUAAAUCCCACUUCUUGA
rnacentral:tRNA from 1 species